CACGUAGGGGGCGAGCGUUGUCCGGAAUCAUUGGGCGUAAAGAGCUCGUAGGCGGCUCAGUAAGUCGGGUGUGAAACCCCCAGGCUCAACCUGGGGACGCCACCCGAUACUGCUGUGGCUAGAGUCCAGUAGGGGAGUGUGGAAUUCCCGGUGUAGCGGUGAAAUGCGCAGAUAUCAGGAAGAACACCCGUGGCGAAAGCGGCUCUCUGGAACGGUACUGACGCUGAGACGCGAAAGCGUGGGGAGCGAACAGG
rnacentral:rRNA from 1 species